rnacentral:tRNA from 1 species
AAGAAAGAAGCAUAAGAGGUUUUGAAUGCGGUUGGCUUGAAACCAGCUUAUGGGGGUUCGAUUCCUCCCUUUCUUG